GCAUAUCAAUAAGCGGAGAAAGGAAACCAAAAGGGGUUGGCCCAGUAACGGCGAGUGAAACGGCAACCGCUCCAAUUUGAAAUCUGGGCCUUGGGUCCCAAUUGUAAUUUGUAAAGGAAGCUUUUGGCGAGGUGCCUUCCGAAUUCCCUGUUUUUCGGCCCCCCUAAAGGGGGAGAACCCCCUCUGGGCCGACACCGAACCUCUGUAAAGCUCCCUCCACCAAUCCAGUAAUUUGGGAAUGCUGCUCAAAAUGGGAAGGAUAUGUCUUCCAAAGCUAAAUAUUGGCCAGAAACCGAUAGCGCACAAAUAAAAUGAUUCAAAGAUGAAAAACACUUUUAAAAGAAGGUUAAAAAGUUCUUUUAAUUGUUUAAAGGGAAGCGCCUAUGACCAGACUUGGGCCCCGUGAAUCCUCCAACGUUCUCCCCGGUGCACUUUGCCGGGGACAAGCCCACCUCCGUUUGGCCCCGGGGAAAAAAGGCUUGGGUAUUUUUGUCUUUUUUUGGAAUGGUAUAGCCCAAUGUGGAAAACCCUGGGCCCGAACGAAGUCCCCCUUUUCUAUGAUGGUGGCCUAAUGGUUAUUAACGACCCUCCUGAAACCCGGCCA
rnacentral:rRNA from 1 species